rnacentral:lncRNA from 1 species
UAUAUAUUUUUCAUCAUAUUUUCUUGAUACAGAUAAAACGGGAUUUUGGUCUACUUAAGCAGAUUGUUUAUUCUUGCAAAUUCGUUUGUUUCAGUAACUAGUCAAUCUGUGUAACUUAUUUUUUCGAGUAGUGAAUGAAACAAACUAGUCAAUCUGUGUAACUUAUUUUUUCGAGUAGUGAAUGAAACAAACUAGUCAAUCUGUGUAACUUAUUUUUUCGAGUAGUGAAUGAUUAUAACUUUAUUUGUUAGCGGUAUCAAGUUU